AAGUAGCAAGUCCCGCUUUUCACCAAUUUAGAAAAUUUGGAAAAAAAAAGAAGAGAAGAAGAUAUUUGGAACUCAUGUGGUCGAGACUUACGUAAGUCUCGCCAAAUGUGAUUCAAGCAUCUUUCUUCUCUUCUUUUUUUUAGUAUUUUUAAUAUUUUCGUCGUAAUAUCGUCGUUAUUUUACGACUCUUUUACGACGAUUUUGGCUUACGUGGAAUUAGCGUGCCCCGCUUUUUUUAAUUUCGUCGUAAACUCCUCGUGGCCUUACGAGGUGUUUACGACGAAAUCAUCCUACGUGGAAUUAAAGAGUGCCUCCUUCGUCAUGUACUUUACGUGGUAUUUACGUCAAUUUACG
rnacentral:lncRNA from 1 species